UUUUUUUUUUUUUUUUUUUUUUUUUUUUUGCAAUUUGCAUCAU
rnacentral:ribozyme from 1 species